GGGUCCUCUAUGUGUAGGUCCUCUAUGUGUGGGUCCUCUAGGCGUGGGUCCUCUAGGUGUGGGUCCUCUAUGUGUGGGUCCUCUAUGUGUAGGUCCUCUAUGUGUGGUUCCUCUAUGUGUAGGUCCUCUAUGUGUAGGUCCUCUAUGUGUGGGUCCUCUAUGUGUGGGUCCUCUAGGCGUGGGUCCUCUAGGCGUGGGUCCUCUAGGCAUGGGUCCUCUAUGUGUGGGUCCUCUAUGUGUGGUUCCUCUAGGCGUGGGUCCUCUAUGUGUAGGUCCUCUAUGUGUGGUUCCUCUAUGUGUAG
rnacentral:lncRNA from 1 species